CUGGAAUAUUGCCAAAAGCGGCGUAAAACCAAACAAAGUCAGUCAUUCAUUGAGGCUACAUUUUUUAACUCGUAUCAUUUAACAAAAUACCUUGUGACGUGUGUAUCAUCAGAAGUUGGUAAUACACUUUAUUACCAAGGGCGAAAAUAUCGAGGUUCAUAUUUUUCAUACGAUGCCCUUUGGCAAUAUAUCACUUUGAAAUGGUGACGUGAUGUCAUGAACAAUGCUAUGACGUCACGUUACUUCUAUGACGCUGCGUUCUACAUGCAGCAACGGCGGGUAGCCAGCCUAUGCUUGAGUAGAUUUGGGUUUAUUUUCCUCAAUUUGAUGACUUCGUAAUAAAUAAAUCAUUAUAUUCGUGCUCCAUACCAUACUAUGUUUACGCACACUGGUGCCUAAAUAUCGGUAUAUCCCGAUGUGACAUGGACACUCAUAUAAUAUCCUCUACGUACUUCCACACAAGCAGAGGGGCAAACACAUGACAAGUUAUAAGCAUGUAUACAUUUGACGUUCUGUACACUGUGGGCUUCUGAAAGGGUCAAUCCGUACCUGGAUAUUUUCUAGCUGACACUAUUCUAGGUUAAAAAAGGGAUCAAAAGUAUUCUUAUGUUGGUAAAGUUCCAAGGGCAGAAAUAGACAUUUUAUGACUGGCCAGAAAAGCACUUGAUGUCACCAUUGUUAUAAGUAUAUCUACACUUAAUACAUGAUUGAAGGAAUGUAUAUAUUUUUGCAACAAGUUUCAGUUACUUUUUAUCAAGUUUUUUGAAAACUAAAGUGUCUGGAGAACCAGGUUAUAUUGAUCUGGACCAACUUGAGGAUGAGUGUCUUUCUUAAACUGAUCCUAAAACUUCUUGAAAUGUAGAGCAUGCAACUGGGAAUCUUGAAUAAUGGACUUUACUACAUGAAUGUUAAAAGGACUGCUUCUUCUUAACAGUUUUCAUGUCACGCUCCAUAAUCCCUGUGGUCCACAGUGAUUCAGUAUGAUCCUCUGUGAUCCUGCGUUUGACCACCUGUGACCAAAUAUGAUCCAUGGUGCUUCUGUGUAACCACCUGUGAUCCUCUUUGAUUCUGUGUGAUCUGAUCGGUGAUCCCAUGUGACCACCUGUGAUCUUCUGUGAUCACCUGUGAUCUUCUGUGAUCACCUGUGAUCUUCUGUAAUCCCAUGUGACCACCUGUGAUCUUCUGUGAUCCCAUGUAUCUUAUCACAUUGUGUUGAUUUCACUGUCGAAAAUGUCACCAUGGUUAUAAGUGCCACUCAGACUUCAUACAUUUAUGUUACCUGAAGCUUUGAACAAUUUGUACAGCAAUAAAUUAUAUCACUGGA